rnacentral:tRNA from 1 species
AGGGGUGUAGCUCAGUAGCGGAGCAUGUGUUUGGCACGCGUGAGGUCCCGGGUUCAAUCCCCAGCCCCUCCA